rnacentral:rRNA from 1 species
GACGAACGCUGGCGGCGUGCCUAAUACAUGCAAGUCGAACGAACCGCGACUAGGUGCUUGCACUUGGUCAAGGUGAGUGGCGAACGGGUGAGUAACACGUGGGUAACCUACCUCAUAGUGGGGGAUAACAGUCGGAAACGACUGCUAAUACCGCAUAGGACAUAGGAUCACAUGAUCCAGUGAGGAAAGGUGGCGCAAGCUAUCGCUAAGAGAUGGACCCGCGGUGCAUUAGCUAGUUGGUAGGGUAAAGGCCUACCAAGGCGAUGAUGCAUAGCCGACCUGAGAGGGUGAUCGGCCACAUUGGGACUAGACACGGCCCAAACUCCUACGGGAGGCAGCAGUAGGGAAUCUUCCGCAAUGGACGCAAGUCUGACGGAGCAACGCCGCGUGAGUGAAGAAGGUCUUCGGAUCGUAAAGCUCUGUUGUUAGAGAAGAACAGCGCAUAGAGUAACUGUUAUGCGUGUGACGGUAUCUAACCAGAAAGCCACGGCUAACUACGUG